CAGACAGCCCAUUUUUUCUUAUGAUAAAGACGGCAUUUGGCUCAUGAGCAAGGUGGCAAAAUCAUCAAGUGAGUCAGACGUGCAGCUCUGGGAAACAGAAGAGGAUGACAUGACAGAAGGGAGAAGAAAGAAAUGAAGCGAGUUUUCAGUAUUCCAAGCAUAAGAGCCAGCAAGAGACAUUCCCUCAAGUGUCCAGAAUUUCUAAUUACAGACGACAAAGUAGCACUGUUUUGAAUCAACGGUAUUUGGAGGCCCUCGCCAUGCUUGAUAUCAAACAGCAGAAGAUGGCUCAGGAAAACAUGUGCUGUGAUAAAAGUGGCUUUGCAGAGGCUUCAGGUCUUGAGCUUGCGGUCCUCGGAGCCUGCCUUUGUCAUGGGCCCGGAGGGAACCCCUGUUCUUGUGCCAGAAUGGCAGCAUCCACUCGGAAACUGCUUCUUCAGCUCAAACAAGAGGAUUUCCAUCACCAAGGAGUAAGAAGACCUUCGGGCAGAGACUGUUGGGUAUGCUCCCUUCAGAAAACAUUUCUAAGAGGAUGGAAGACCAGGACAGUCCUCAAGAGGUCCUUAAGAUGCUCAUAGAUUUGCUUAAUGAUAAAGAAGAAGCUUUGGCUCAUCAAAGAAAAGUUAGCUACAUGCUUGCUCGGGCAUUGGAAGACAAAGACACUGCUUCAAAAGAGAAUAAAGAAAAAAAUCCUAUAAAAGAGAAUUUCCCUUUCAACAACCCCUGGCGUAAGACUUCAGAAUUCUCUGUUUUGGGUGAUCCUAUACAUUCAAGUGUCUGCAUUUUAAAUUCUGUGGGCUGCAUUUGUUCAAUCCAGCACUCUCAAAUAGAUCCAAACUAUAGAACUCUUAAAAGAACCCAUUCUUUGCCAUCAAGUAUCAUAUUUUAAAGACAAGCCAGUUGAAAUUGGAACUGAGAGUUGUUUAUAUCGAGAUACUUUGAAAAAUGAUUUUGUAAAUUUUGCUGCAUCUUGAGAAGUUGUAUGUUUCCUAGGUAUUUCUAAAUUUUAGGAGGUCGCUUAAAUCAAAUAUUUUCUACAUUUUCUUUUUCUUCUUUUGAGAUGGAGUCUCGCUCUGUCACCCAGGUUGGAGUGCAGUGGUGUGAUCUCGGUUCACUGCAACCUCCGCCUCCCGGUUCAAGCAAUUCUCCUGCCUCAGCCUCCCGAGUAACUCGGCUUACAGGCAUGUGCCACCACGCCCAGCUAAUUUUUGUAUUUUUAGUAGAGACGGGGUUUUACCAUGUUAGCCAGGCUGAUCUUGAACUCCUGACCUCAAGUGAUCCGCCUGCCUUGGCCUCCGAAAGUGCUGGGAUUACAGGUGUGAGCCACCACACCCAGCCUAUUUUCUACAUUUUCUACAAGAAAUUAGUAUUCUGUGUUGACAUUUUAUUUAUAAAUUACAUUACUGUAUUUAUAAAUUACAUUACAGGCUGGGCAUGGUGGCUCAUGCUUAUAAUCCCAGCACUUUGGGAGGCCAAGGUGGGUGGGUCACCUGAGGCUGGAGUUCAAGACCAGUCUGACCAACAUGGAGAAACCCCGUCUCUACCAAAAAUACAAAAAAUUAGCUAGGCGUAGUGGCGCAUGCCUGUAAUCCCAGCUACUUGGGAGGCUGAGGUAGGAGAAUCGCUUGAACCUGGGAGGCGGGGGUUGUGGUGAGCCGAGACUGUGUCAUUGCACUCCAGCCUGGGCGACAAGAGCGAAACUCUGUCUCAAAAAAACAAAACAAAACAAAACAAAACAAACAAACAAAAAAAAACACAUUACAGUGUUUGCCAACAUCCUAAAACAAAAAAUAAUGAUUUUUGGGAAAAACAAAAAAUUAUUUAACUAUUUUGAUUGACUAUAGGGAUCUUAGCUUGGCUAAAUCAACAAUAUAGCAAUGUAUCUUAAUGCUCUAAAAAGUAACAAUACCUAGGACUGACUGAAUAUUAAUUUCUGGAAUUCAUUUAUCUUAUUUGCCUUGUUCAGUAUUUUUCAUUUACCAUAUGAAGUUUAGAAAUAACAAUUUCCUUAAGUUAACUUCGAUAAGACAGUUUUGAUGGUGGGACCUUGGCAGAAGUAUAUUGAGUCAUUGCCGGCUACGUUCAUGGCUUCUUGUCAGGGUAGUAACAUUUUGCAACCAAAUCUGCACAGAUUUGUAGCCAAGUCUACAAAGUGCUUAACAGCUGUUUUCAUUGCAUCCUGUGAGAUGGUUGUGAUGAUCCCAGGAAAUGGGGUCUCAGGAAUCUGAAGAAGCUGCCUGAGCCAAGGUGAUUUCUAGGAGUUUUUUUGUUUGUGGUAUGUGAAUUGGGGUGUGUGGG
rnacentral:sRNA from 1 species